AUAUCUCUCUGUACGGGAAGGAUGAGAAGCUUCUACCAGGGUUCGAUUCGAGCGCAGCGAGAAAGCGUUGCCGCAGGCAA
rnacentral:sRNA from 6 species